AGUCGAACGAGAAAGUGCCCUUCGGGGUGCGAGUACAGUGGCGAACGGGUGAGUAACACGUGGACAAUCUACCUUUGAGUGGGGGACAACCCUUCUAACGAGGGGCUAAUACCGCAUAAUGCAGCGGCUCCGCAUGGAGAUGUUGUUAAAGGGCCUGCUUCGGCAGCCCCGCUUAAAGAUGAGUCCGCGGUCCAUUAGCUUGUUGGUGAGGUAACGGCUCACCAAGGCACCGAUGGAUAGCCGGCCUGAGAGGGUGAUCGGCCACACUGGAACUGAGAUAAGGUCCAGUCCCCUACGGGGGCCAGCAGUCUAGAAAUUUGCGCAAUGGGCGAAAGCCUGACGCAGCGACGCCACGUGGAGGAUGAAGCCCCUAGGGGUGUAAACCCCUGUCAGGAGGGAAGAAAAGCGGGCAGGUAUUCUGCCCGAAUUGACGGUACCUCCAGAGGAAGCCCCGGCUAACUUCGUGCCAGCAGCCGCGGUAAUACGAAGGGGGCAAGCGUUGUUCGGAUUUACUGGGCGUAAAGGGUGCGCAGGCGGGUCGAUAAGUCCACUGUGAAACCUACCGGCUCAACCGGUAGCCUGCAGUCGAAACUGUCGACCUUGAGUACAGAAGAGGAGAGCGGAAUCUCAGG
rnacentral:rRNA from 1 species